UACGUAGGGUGCGAGCGUUAAUCGGAAUUACUGGGCGUAAAGCGUGCGCAGGCGGUUCGUUGUGUCGGUGGUGAAAGCCCCGGGCUUAACCUGGGAAUGGCCAUGGAAACUGGCGAACUGGAGUGUGGCAGAGGGGGGUGGAAUUCCGCGUGUAGCAGUGAAAUGCGUAGAGAUGUGGAGGAACACCGAUGGCGAAGGCAGCCCCCUGGGUCAAGAUUGACGCUCAUGCACGAAAGCGUGGGGAGCAAACAGG
rnacentral:rRNA from 1 species